UCUAAGUAUAACCUGCCAGACAGGGAAACUGCGUACGGCUCAUUACACCAGCCUUAAUUUACUUGACCUUGACCACCUACUUGGAUAACUGUGGUAAUUCUAGAGCUAAUACAUGCACCAAAGCUCCGAUCCUCGCGGAGAGGAGCGCAUUUGUUCGCCACAAAACCAAGCGCCCAUCUGGGCGUCCAGUGCUGAACCAGAACAACUCAGCUGAUCGCACGGUCUUGUACCGGCGACGUGUCUUUCAAGUGUCUGCCUUAUCAACUUUCGAUGGUAGUGUACCUGACUACCAUGGUUGUGACGGGUAACGGAGGAUAAGGGUUCGACUCCGGAGAAGGGGCCUGAGAAAUGGCCACUACGUCUAAGGAUGGCAGCAGGCGCGCAAAUUACCCACUCUCAACGCGAGGAGGUAGUGACGAGAAAUAACGAGACCGUUCUCAUACGAGGCCGGUUAUUGGAAUGGGUACAAUUUAAA
rnacentral:rRNA from 1 species